ACUUUGGAUGAAGAACCAACGGAUGAAUAAAUAGAAGAAAGAGAUAAAUAAAAGAAGAAGGAGGAGAAGUGGGGAUGUGUAAACACAGAGAGACAGACAGACUGGAGGUUUCUAGAACGGCAAAGAUGGAUGAGCUGGAAGAAAGAAGAAAGAAGGAAAUGCUUCUUUUUUAUUUCCCUUAAACUCCCUCACUUCCUGUCGCUCUCCCGUCUCACACACACACACACAUGCUGCAGACAGACAGUGAGCAGUAAUGAAUGAGUGGAUGUUCUUAAGUUAAAUUCUCUUCACCCAGCAACAAACACACACACACACACCUCAUAUCAUUCUUACUCUUUGCAGUGUUUAGUAUUUUCCUCUGUUCCAAAUUCAUUCAUCCUUUUCCUCCAUCACAUGUAUUGGGGCAGUUUUUGUGGUGGUUAUUGGCGAGAUGACAUCACUCUGUCAACUUCCUGUCUGAGGGAUUAGUCGUCACAGUGCAGGACAAAGGAGAAGGCAAAAACCUUCUCUUGGUCUUUUGUCAUUUGGACAUGACUUCUCAGCCUUUCUGUGCCCUUUGAUGUGCAUCCCACGCUUCUUUUUACCGUCUGUGUGUGUCUUCCAGCCUUUCUCCCAAGUCCAAACUGACCUCAGGAUUUUCUGUGUGUGUGUGUACAUGGGUUUGCCAUGUCGUUUUCUGUGUUUAAAUGUUGUAUUUGCGAGCUUUGUGUGUGUGUGUGUGUGUGUGUGUGCACAGUCAGUGUGGCUCCAGGCCCUCAUGCGUCAGAGGGCCUUUCUCUUUCUAUGGCCCCUGAGCAAACAUAUUAAGAACUACCUUAUCACUGCUUAUACAGCCAGGGCCACACACACGUUAAAUGCAAUCCUAAACACACACCACAUUCACAAAAAGAUAGCUUUGACUCCAAACACACAAAGCUCGCCGCCAAAUUUCCCAAAUGUCACCGAUCCAUCGAGGUGGAAGAGGUGGACCUAGAGAGCCUCCUUCAGUCAUUGGUCGAACCUGAGCCAUCAGUCCAGCUUGGGUUUAUAAAGGCAAGAUUGGUCAGAUCAGUUAGGAAAAGGAAGACAUCCAACACACUGCUGACAAGCCUUCUUCAAGAGGCGCAUCCAUGGAAAAUGAACAGAGAGACUAACUUUGUUAUAUAGAUAAAAAGAAAGAUAUUUAACUGCAAAGAGUGGAGCUAAUGUAGACGAAUACCAAAAUACGGUUGAUAUCCAGGAGAACAGCUUUGAAGCCUCUUGACCUAUCACCGCUGAAGAGGUUGUCCAGUGUUUUAGAAUCAGCAGAGGACAAGCAACUGAAAGAAUUUUGAACAUUAUCUAAAAGAAGCUGUCUGAUCUGAGAUCAACAGACCAACUUUAAAGUCAUCCCAGCUCAUGUCUGCACCAUCUGCAACAUCAGCAGCUUCAACAAAAAGUCGGAAGGAUGAGUUGAGCAGAAGAAGAAACAACAUCCUUUGAGAACCUGUAGAACAGAAGUCUUCUUCUAACAAAAUCAACACAACUUCCUGUUAGUGAUAAGACAUAAAUAAAUUUCUUUUCUUUUCAAGCUCCAUGCUUAAUAGUGCAGCACCAGUGUCUGAGAUGAAGGUAACCGUGUUGAUGCUGAUGAUUCUUUGGACGGGAGUGGAGGCAGCACCCACCGAGAGAGGCUUUGUGAAACCUCCACAUCAUCUUCCCAGUCUCACUCAAGCAGUAGUUGUACCAGAGAAGGCUUUAGCACUAAAUCCAAGCCAAUACCUGAAACACUGGCUUCUCAAUACCAAAGCAGCUGGACUGGAUGGGUCAACAAGAAUCACUGACAGAACCACCACGGGGACGAUCAUUGCAGGCACCAGGGCAGGACGACUGAGCACCAACUCUGGUACAGCCGGUCCAGAUAAACGAGCCCAGAUGCUGAAGAUGAUCUCGGCGCUGGAGGAACUGCACAGGACAUUUAACAGCACGCUGAGCUCACGGAUCACCAUCCUGCCAAGAGCAAAUGGCAGAAAUUCAGGAAGAAAAAAUAAAGUGCUUCUUGCUGUCGAGGGGGGGUUGAAGCCCACUACUGUGGCCCCAGCAGCAGUCAACAGCACUGUAUCCAGAGCAAGUGCAGAUGUCAUGGUUCCCAGUCUGACGGGUCGAAACUUCAAGAAGUCCCUCCCACCUCAGACCAGGAAGACCAACAAAAGAGUGUGUUUCUGGAAGUACUGCUCCCAGAACUGAUCAUCUCUCAGUCAGUGUUGAGCUUUCCACCGCUGGUCUCCCUCCACACUCUCCCAGCCUUUCUGUCUCCUCCCUCCAUCUGCUCCAUCACUAUCCAUCCAUCCAUCCAUCCAUCCAUCCGUUCAUCCAUCCAUCCAGAAAAAUGGCUAUUUAGAGAUACACUAUAGGCGAACAGGAUCUCCCUCUCAGCGGGGCAGGUGCUGGUGAAUUCCUCUCUCUGAUAGGCGCAGUUUAAAUACCUCCACACCCCUGCCAUCUCUGCUGGGAUCUCAAAGUCACGGUAUUUCUUGGCUACAACCUGCAAACGGAAGAAUGCAAGUGGGCGUGAGCUGACAGAAGUUGAAAAUCAGGCUGGACGAACCUUAAGGAUGUGUAGUUUAGGCAGCAGGUUGCAGUCGGCCAGGGUGAGCUCAGACCCGUCCAGGAAGCUCCUGGAGGACUCGGGCACGUCUCCUGACGCGUCAGCAUCGAUCUCCUCAGGCAGCGGAGUCCUGAGGAAGUCAUCCAGACGCCGCAGAGACUUCAGCAAGGCUUUUUCUAAGGCUGUAGAGUUUGUCCUCCAGGAACUCCUCUAUCUUGUUGACAUCCACCUUGACCUCACCAUUAAAGGUCACGAAAGGAGGGUUGGUUCCUGGAGCGAGGUCCUGCAGGUCAGCCGGCUUCCUGAAAGCACAAAACAAAGUGUCUGCAAUAAGGAUGAAGAUGAUAUCACUGUCAGCAAUUCAGAACAAAUAUUUCAUGUAGGUUUGCUUUCUCCUAAAGUCAUUGAAGCAGAAUUAUAGGCAUUAUGACAUCCUUCCUGUUAUUCAGGACUGUUGUUUAACUGUUGUUACAUACACAGGGAAUGAAAGCUGCUCACUAAAUGUUCUCUCCUCAGGACAAAAUGAAUACAAGUGGGAAAACAAGGAUUAAGUAUGUAGUAUAGAAUUGUGUUCAGGUCUGAAUAGGUGUGUGCAGCAGGCGAUAUUACCGUUUGAGGUCGACGGUGGUGACGUUGAAGAUGACGCCUUUAAGCCAGAGGAUCAUAAAGAGUCUCUGAGAGAAUGGGCAGUUACCAAUGCUCUCCCCAUCACUUCCUGCCUAUACAAACACACACACAUGCAUAUACAUACAAGACACAUUCGCAAAAGUGUGGGAUUAAAUACAAACUCACAACAUCAUUUCCAACAACAAUACAUAUGCUAAUAUAUUCAUGAGAUUUUCUCUGCACUCCCAAAAUGCAUGAAACAUUUUAAACUAAAAGCAAAAUCUGGUGAGUCAGUUAAUUCUCCCACUGGUGUUGUGUCGUCAGAGAGUGAGUGAGGGAUCCAUCAGGACUUAAAACAACACUGAAACCCUGAAAUAAAUUCAGUGCAAGAAGGAAAACAGUCUUUAUUUGUGAUAUUAGCUGAAUAAGCAGCAAGGGAAUAAGUGCAGCCACAGAAACAAGGCUGAGCUUUUCAACAGUGUCCAAUGGUCUUCAGUGUUGUGCUGAUUUGCCAUGGUGUUUGUUAAGGUGCGAUCAUGUCAACGAGGUGUCACGUGACCCAGAGGUCACCAAAUGUGUUUUUAUUUUCAAAAUGUUCUGUGAACACCAGAUCAAAACCACUGAGAGCAUCCAGUGGGAGGGUCAAAGAUCAUCAAGGGGACAACUGGAGAAAGAUGAAGGAUUAGGAAAUGCUUGUCUGAUGCUCGAGACCAUCUUUCAGCAGAGGCAGGAGUGAGUAUUUCCCCAC